rnacentral:rRNA from 1 species
AUACAGAGGGUGCGAGCGUUAAUCGGAAUUACUGGGCGUGAAGCGCGCGUAGGCGGCUUAUUAAGUCAGAUGUGAAAUCCCCGGGCUCAACCUGGGAACUGCAUCUGAUACUGGUAAGCUAGAGUUUUGGAGAGGGAAGUAGAAUUUCAGGUGUAGCGGUGAAAUGCAUAGAGAUCUGAAGGAAUACCAGUGGCGAAGGCGACUUCCUGGCCAAAAACUGACGCUGAGGUGCGAAAGCGUGGGUAGCAAACGGGAUUAGAUACCCCAGUAGUCC